rnacentral:rRNA from 1 species
UACGUAGGGGGCAAGCGUUGUCCGGAAUCAUUGGGCGUAAAGCGCGUGUAGGCGGCUCGAUAAGUCUGCUGUGAAAGUCCAGGGCUCAACCCUGGGAUGCCGGUGGAUACUGUCGAGCUCGAGUCCGGAAGAGGCGAGUGGAAUCCUGGUGUAGCGGUGAAAUGCGCAGAUAUCAGGAGGAACACCGAUGGCGAAGGCAGCUCGCUGGGACGUGACGACGCUGGAGACGCGAAAGCGUGGGAGCA